rnacentral:rRNA from 1 species
UACGAAGGGGGCUAGCGUUGUUCGGAGUUACUGGGCGUAAAGGGUGUGUAGGCGGUUCUUUAAGUUUGGUGUGAAAUCUCCCGGCUUAACCGGGAGGGUGCGCCGAAUACUGAGGGACUAGAGUACGGGAGAGGAAAGUGGAAUUCCUGGUGUAGCGGUGAAAUGCGUAGAUAUCAGGAGGAACACCGGUGGUGUAGACGGCUUUCUGGACCGUAACUGACGCUGAGACACGAAAGCGUGGGUAGCAAACAGG